AGUGGCGGACGGGUGAGUAACGCGUGAGAAUCUACCUUCAGGACGGGGACAACAGCUGGAAACGGCUGCUAAUACCCGAUAUGCCGAAAGGUGAAAAGUUUUUUCGCCUGGAGAGGAGCUCGCGUCCGAUUAGCUAGUUGGUGAGGUAAAAGCUUACCAAGGCGACGAUCGGUAGCUGGUCUGAGAGGAUGAGCAGCCACACUGGAACUGAGACACGGUCCAGACUCCUACCGGAGGCAGCAGUGGGGAAUUUUCCGCAAUGGGCGAAAGCCUGACGGAGCAACGCCGCGUGGGGGAAGAAGGUUUUUGGAUUGUAAACCCCUUUUCUCAAGGAAGAACAAAAUGACGGUACUUGAGGAAUCAGCCUCGGCUAACUCCGUGCCAGCAGCCGCGGUAAUACGGAGGAGGCAAGCGUUAUCCGGAAUUAUUGGGCGUAAAGCGUUCGUAGGCGGCUGUUCAAGUCUGCUGUCAAAGACCGAGGCUCAACCUCGGGUAGGCAGUGGAAACUGGAUAGCUAGAGGUCGGUAGGGGCAGAGGGAAUUCCCAGUGUAGCGGUGAAAUGCGUAGAUAUUGGGAAGAACACCGGUGGCGAAAGCGCUCUGCUGGGCCGAACCUGACGCUGAGGGACGAAAGCUAGGGGAGCGAAUGGGAUUAGAUACCCC
rnacentral:rRNA from 1 species